GACGAACGCUGGCGGCGUGCUUAACACAUGCAAGUCGAACGCUGAAGCUCAGCUUUUGUUGGGUGGAUGAGUGGCGAACGGGUGAGUAACACGUGAGUAACCUGCCCCCUUCUUUGGGAUAACGCCCGGAAACGGGUGCUAAUACUGGAUAUUCACUGGUCUUCGCAUGGGGGUUGGUGGAAAGGGUUUUUCUGGUGGGGGAUGGGCUCGCGGCCUAUCAGCUUGUUGGUGGGGUGAUGGCCUACCAGGGCUUUGACGGGUAGCCGGCCUGGGAGGGUGACCGGUCACAUUGGGACUGAGAUACGGCCCAGACUCCGACGGGGGGCAGCAGUGGGGAAUAUGGCACAAUGGGCGCAAGCCUGAUGCAGCGACGCCGCGGGAGGGAUGGAGGCCUUCGGGUUGUGAACCUCUUUCGCUCAUGGUCAAGCCGCAACAAUGGUUGUGGUGAGGGUAGUGGGUAAAGAAGCGCCGGCUAACUACGUG
rnacentral:rRNA from 1 species